rnacentral:misc_RNA from 1 species
GAUGAAGAACGUAGCGAAAUGCGAUACGUAAUGUGAAUUGCAGAAUUCAGUGAAUCAUCGAAUCUUUGAACGCACAUUGCGCCCCUUGGUAUUCCGAGGGGCAUGCCUGUUCGAGCGUCAUUAUAACCCCUCAAGCUCAGCUUGGUGUUGGGGCCUGCCGCACGGGCAGCCCUUAAAAUCAGUGGCGGUGCCAUCUGGCUCUAAGCGUAGUAAUUCUUCUCGCUAUAGAGUCCCGGUGGAUGCUUGCCAUUAACCCCCAAUUUUCUAUGGUUGACCUCGGAUCAGGUAGGGAUACCCGCUGAACUUAAGCAUAUCAAUAAGCGGAGGA